UUGACUGUGCACAGAUCAAUCUACAACAUCAGAGACACUGAGUUCCAUGUGCACUGAUAAACAGGGAGGUUGUUGUGUCUUAUUGUAUGAAAAGACAUGAAUAGACAUAAACAAGAUAGAAAUAUAUCAGUGAUGUAGCGGCCCAGGACUAAUCAGCACUAAGGAUUAUGGAUAGAGUUGUGUUGGAGGUGUUUUAUGUGUUGUAGUUAUGUAUGGGAGUAGUUUGGUGUAAUUUUGGCAUAUGUCUUAGGUCCCGCAGUGUAUUGCAGUGUGGUGCACAGGCAUCCUCACCCCACUAGCUAUACGUAGGCUUAGCUGCUCAGUUAGCCUUGGCUUAGCUCGCCUGGCUUCUCACCAACACGUGAUGUCCUCAGCCAUUACCAUUACAUCAUGAAGAUAUACACAAACAUGCAAGCAGUUGCACUGUGGAUUACGCAAUGGUGCAGUGGGUAGCACUGUCGCCUCACAGCAAGAAGGUCCUGGAGCUGACCGGGUGCCUUUCUGUGGAGUUUGCAUGUUUGCAUGCUCUCGCUGUGUUCGCGUGGGUUCUCCUCCCAUGGUCUAAAGACAUGCAUUAGGUUGAUUAGUCACUCUGAAUUGCCCAUAGGUGUAAGUGUGCGAAUGGUUGUCUGUCUGUGUGGUGCCCUCCGAUGGACUGGCGACCAAGUCGGUAACUUGUUUCACAUGUGGGAUUAGUUUGCAGAGCUGACCAAUGGCGGCCUAAGAUUGGCUUCACCCGGCAGGAGUCGGCUCUUCUCCUUCGCUACAAAGCAUCGGCUCUUGCAGCCAGUGAAAUCCACCUGCAGCUAACGGAUUAAUCCUCCGACACCAUCUCUGCCUCCUCCACCGCUCCAUCGGUUCUGACACCUGCCCCUGACCCCUGGCAGUUCCUCCCCUCUUUGCACUCCUUAGCUCCCUGAUCUGAGCUUCCAUAGAUGCUGUUUAACCUCUGUAUUCCAGCAAUAAAUAUUGCCUGCUCACUCACAGUUGUCACAGUCUGGGGUUUUUGCCUGCAUUUCCUGUUUUAUUUUUGUAGUAUUUCCGGUUUCUGUUCAGUCAUGCCUUUUCCUGCUUUAUGUUUUAGUCACGUGACCACACAGCUGUUUUCAACCCGGUCUUUUAGUCCAGUACAUAAUCCCUGGCUCGAAAUGAUUUGGUAGUGAACCAGCAGCUCCUGCUCUGCUGUGUCUUGGUAUGGGGAUGAU